rnacentral:lncRNA from 1 species
UUUAUUAAUUUUUAUUAACCAACUAAGUGCAUUAUUGCCAAAAGUGACUGUUUAUUAGAAAUUACAUAUUUUCUGUAAUGGCCCUGUUUUUCUGUAAUGGCCCUGUUUUUUCUGUAAUGGCCCUGUUUUUCUGUAAUGGCCCUGUUUUUUCUGUAAUGGCCCUGUUUCUCUGUAAUGGCCCUGUAUUAAUGCCCAGUUUGUCUGUAUUAAGCCCUGUUAGGGUUUUUAAUAAAGUUAAUAAAACUAAGUUGUAAAGAGUUAAAUACCUUUUUGUAUUUUAUUUAAUUUAGUAACCAGCAACCAACAUUAAAGAACCAUAUAUUAAAGGGAUCACUGUUCAUCCUGUUUUUAACACAUAUCUCUUUCAACUUAAUAUCUUGGAUAUUUGGUAUAUUUAAAGCUUUAUAAUGGUGAAGUACAAAUUAUUUUGUUCAAACUAAACUGUCAUUAAAAGAGUAAGACAGUACAUCAAGUUAGCAGCAACAUAUACACUUUUGUUCAGUUGGUUAAUAAAUGUAUUAAGAAAUGGGUGUUUUUAUAAUGGCCCUGUUAUAUGUCCUCGGUCAGUAAUAAUGGCCUCGGAUGUCUGUAAUAGCCCUCGGCGUUGCCUCGGGCCAUUACAGACUUCCUCGACCAUUAUUACAGACUUUGGACAUAUAACAGGGCCAUUAUAAAAACACCCAUUCAUUAAUACUAU